rnacentral:rRNA from 1 species
AACGAACGCUGGCGGCAGGCCUAACACAUGCAAGUCGAGCGAAGUCUUCGGACUUAGCGGCGGACGGGUGAGUAACGCGUGGGAACGUGCCCUGGGGUGCGGAACAACCGCUGGAAACGGCGGCUAAUACCGCAUGAUCCUCUUCGGAGGCAAAGAUUUAUCGCCCUGGGAUCGGCCCGCGUCGGAUUAGGUAGUUGGAGUGGUAAUGGCCUACCAAGCCGAUGAUCCGUAGCUGGUUUGAGAGGAUGAUCAGCCACACUGGGACUGAGACACGGCCCAGACUCCUACGGGAGGCAGCAGUGGGGAAUCUUGGACAAUGGGGGCAACCCUGAUCCAGCCAUGCCGCGUGAGCGAUGAAGGCCUUAGGGUUGUAAAGCUCUUUCACCGGUGAAGAUAAUGACGGUAGCCGGAGAAGAAGCCCCGGCUAACUCCGUGCCAGCCGCCGCGGUAAUAC